CCAGAGCAAAGAGACUGGGGUGGGCUUUGAGCACAUUUCUGAGCUUCUCAAAGCUCUGGUUUCCUCAUCUGGAGAACCUACCUCACAAGGGUUUGGACUAAAGUUAUAAAUAGAAAGAUGCUCCAUAAAUGGGAUCUCACGGGUGCUGGCCCACUCUCUCCUGGAACCUCACUUUGCAAACAAGUAGAUCAUCGUGUACCAUCAGUGAGCGAUGUGGGCCCUUUGGAGAGACAAACCCAUGUGCCUUCUGGAGCCAAGCAGGCGACACAAACAAGUGGAGUGGCCUGAGUGUAAGGGAACCAUAGUUCAGGCAGCCAGGAAAAUGAACAUAAUAAUACCCUCCUUGGAGGGUUAUGAUGUGCGUGAAGCUCUGAGGACCAUGCCUGGCACUUAAUGGAGCCUCGAUCAAGUAAUACCUGUCGUCAGCGGGGGCCCACCGAGCACUCAGCCCUGCUCCCUGACACCCUAGUUUUCUUGCCACUCCGAAAAAGGCUGAAACAGAACACCCCCAUCCCUGGCCGCUAAAUUCCAAUCUACACUUUGCAAAAUUCAUUCUCCUGCCAGAAAGGUAGCGCUUUCCACCCUGGUCUCAUGGUCCCCGAGAAGAAUAGAGAAGCGAAAGGAAGGAGCAGGCUCUCUCCCAAGUAGGCGGCUGCGGGGGGUGGGGGGCUGUUAAGGAGCCAGAAACAAGCGCGGGAAUGGGCGCUCAUCCUGGCUUGGCCACUAACAAGCUAUGGGAACUUGGACAAAUGGCUGAGCGACUCCGGGUCUCCGUCCGACUGUGUAGAGGUGGGCGGUGAUGUCCACCUCGGAGAGCCAUCAGGAGGCUGUAAAGUUGUACCUUGUCCCAGCUAUUCUCUGUCAACCCCACCACAGAUCUUCCGGCCUUGUGCCCGGGAGUUUGACUGCAGUAGCACGUCCCCCCCCGCCGCCCCCGUCCUCUGGUCCCCCGGAGGAAUCGGCGGAGGAAAUGCGCCAACAGGACUCAAGAUAUAGCGGCCUCCCCUUGGAGAAAUCAAACCCUAAUCUCCAGCAGAACAGGAUCUAGAAGCACCUUCUUUCUUCUCGUCCUGUAGAUACACUUGAUGGAGGGCAUCUAUUUGAAUCCUCACCACAAACAUGCAGGAAAGAUGUCUCUUCUCUUAUUGACAAGGCAGACUGGAGAAAAUGGAAGCAUUUGAGGCCUGAGAUGACUGGGCUGAACUUCUUAAUGGAGUGAUUUUUUUUUUUUUUUUUUAAGUGAUUUGUUUCUGGAGAAUAGGCAGUCCAGGGCAAGCUAAGUGGACUGAGUUCCUGGAGAGAGCGGAAGACAGGGCUUGCCUGAUGUCUGUCCACCUGUCAUGGGGGAAUGGAGGGGGAAAACAGCCCCUGCAGAAAUCUGCUUGGAGACGCAUCCACUCCCAUGGGCCCCACGGACCCAUCCCUGACAGCCAUCAUAGGUAUUGAUCAACCACAAGAGCAGAUUUCUAGAAUAAUACGUGCCCGUUAUAGGACACACAUAUUCACAUGCAAAACUUGGACUCUCUGGCUCCAAGAUCUUAAGGGGGUUAUUUCUGGGUGGUGGGAACGUGAGUGGCUUUUUUUCCUUCCUGCUUCUCUGGAGUGCCUCGCUUUUCCUCUGUAGUCUUAUAUCACUUAACGAUCCAUAGGUGUCAUCACAACACAUACCACACCCCCUUCGCUCUGUCUCCACAUUCCCUCCACCCUCUUUCCCCUGUCAUUCCCUUCCCACGCUUGAUUUUAGCCAAAAGGUGGAGAAGCGAUGUCAUUGCCUUUUCAAAGUGAUGAUUUAAAAAAAAAAAGGUCUCUCUCCCGCAUAUCCUCCGAGAAUACAAUGGCAGGAAGCAGGUAGCCCAGGACAGUAAGGCCCAAUUUCCAGGUCCUGAGCUCCAGGAACAGGGAGCCCGAGUCAGGCGGCCGGGACCACGGAUCCAGAGUAUGACCUUUGAAGCAGAGAUUCAGAGACUUGCCCGUUUCUUCAUUUGUCCCGUGGAGAGACCACUGUCUUCCUCCCACAGAACCUCCAGAGGAGAGCCCUGCCUGGCCCAAACCAUGAGUUUGGCCUUGUGAGACCUUAACCAGAGACCCCAGCUGGGAAGUCCAAGAUGAGGGUGCCAGCAGGGUCAUGUCCUGGUGAGGACCCUUCUCCUGGUUUGCAGACGGUCGCCUUCCUGUUGUGUGGUCACAUGGUGGAGAGAGAGAUUGUCUCCCUGGAGUCUCUUUUUACGGCGCACCGAUCCCAUUCAUGAGGGCUCCCAAAGGCCUCAUCCCCAAAUGCCGUCACCCUGGGGAUUAGGCUUCAAGGUGGCUCUCCUGGUGUUACAACUCCAAUCUGGAAAUUGGUUCUGCGUUGUGUCAGAAUAGCAAUGAGGAUAUCCCUUUCAUGCCCACUGCGUAGGGUGAGGUGGCCAAAGGCAUGGGCCCUCAGCGUCAGGCACUGUUGCCUUUUGCAGGUCGGUCGUUAGCCACCAUUUCAGUCACGGUUCCCUGUUGCUCAGUGUCACGGGACCCAAACAGCUCUGCAAACAGGAAUAAUCAGCAGCUACGCCGUGGGGUCGAGGGGAGUUCAGGGCACCAGUGAGGAGCCAUGGGUGUUGUGGAGGGAGCCUAAGGCUGGGAAGCUGAGCGGAGAGCAGUUAUUAAAAUAAAAUUCCUUUAGCCAUAGCUACCAUUUCCUGAGCCCCUGUGUGCCCCCAGCAGUGGGAGACCCUCUUUUCAAAGAGUUGAUAGGAAAAACUGCAUCAAAAUAACCACAGGAUCUAAGAUAAAAAUUGUCUGCACUCCAGUCACCUAAUUAAGUCAAUAUUUUUAUUUUUCCCCCCAUACCUAUAUGGUGCUUCCUAGUCAUUAUCACAUCACAGAGACCACUUAGGAUACUAAUUUCCACAAUUUCACUUUAAUUUUUACCAUACAUGAUAUUUCUCUUUUGUGAAAAUCACAGUUUAUCUCUUUCUCCCAACUUUCCCUCCCUACCCUCCGACCCUGGAACCAGUACGAACAGCCUGAAAGUAUCUCCUAUGUCUUUCUCUGUGUGCGUUGAAAAUAGUGACACAAACGGCAGAGAUUCACUUCCCGCUCAUGACCGGGGGGAGGCGCUGUUUGUACCGUGUUGUGUCCGUGUCUGCUUGCAGGUGCUCGGGCCCUCCCCGCGGCCGCGUGACCGAAGCCCCUGGGGUCCUCCUCAGUUAACACAUGAAGAAACCGAGGCCCAACAGAGAUCUGAGUUCAAAACCUCAAGGAUCUAUGUUCCUCUCUCAGCAAGAAGCACUGCAGAGACGUGCACCAAACGGGAGUGAAGAUUAAUACAGUCUGACACAGAGAGCGUUUCCAGGAAGUUCAGGAGAACAUGGGAACAGGUUAAAUGACAACACGGUGAUGUGUCAGGAGAACCCAGAAUGUGAGAAGUUCUACAACAGGACAAAUAACCCAAUUCUUCCAACGAAUAAAGGUCCUUAAAUGCCUUUUGGGUGCGUCAUGUUGCGGGUCAGGACGCUCACAAAAACGGUGUAUGUUCGAGAUUUCCCGUAGAAGAAUCACAAUGAAAGAAAAGGACAGAUUUGGGAGGCCAAAGACCUUUCUGGAACACAGCCCCAUGUGUGGACCUCUCCAGGCUUCUUGGCUUCCAGUUCUCCUACUUUUCCCUCCUAGAUACCGUCCAGGACCUAAGCAUGGCUCUCUGUCCCUCCUCCUUCACCUUCUUCACACCUCUGACUGAGCCUUCUGAGUGUUCUAGAAGGGACUCACUCCUUCCAGGCACAGAACCCCUCUAGUGAUCUGGCUGCAAAGGGGAGUGAGCGCAGUGGGGAAGCAUAUGCCCAUCCUGGCCUCAGGCAUCAUGGACAGAAGACACACAUUGAGCAGGAGAAUCAUCAUGGAGCCAGAAUUUAAAAAGACAAAGACUUUCUGAAGAACUUCCCCAUCGGGGCAAAGCACUCCAAGGUCCAGAGCAGCAAGCAGCUUUCAGGGCAGAGCAGCACCCACCAAGAACAGCUGGUGGAGUUGCACAGCCCCCAGCUUUCCACCCCAACCCAUCCUGCCCUCCCUGCCAGAGUGAAAACAGUGUCCUGGUGAAAGCACCAGCUUCGGACUCAGGCAACCUGGGAAUCAGAAUCUCAGCUCCAACCCUUGCUAACCGUGAGAAUGUCAGCAAGCCUUUACUUAACUCCAAAAGCAUCUACCAUACUCCAACUUCAAGUGUAGCCUGAGUGAAAGAGAACCAUGAACCCAAAAGUGUUGGUGAAGACAAUGGUCCAGCAAGAACAUGCUUUCCAGAGAAUGAUGCUCUCCUCCACCUGCCAAGACCUCUUCCUCAUUCGGCCAAUGAAAUAAGCCUUUGUUACAUCACCUUAUGUAUAUAAAGGGUUUAUUUACUUUCAACUUACUGUGUAUUAUUUAUUUAAACUUGUUUUUAUUAUUCAGUGAUAUAUUUUUCUCUCUGUGAAAAUCAUUUGGAUGUCUUUCGUUGGGUUAGGAUACAGCCAUGUUUUCCCCAUUAAAAUCAAGGCAACUAUUUUUUCCACUUAACAGCUUUUCACUUGGUGGCAGGUCAAAUUAAAGUCUUCAAAAGGUGUUUAGGGGCUGCCUGACUGGCUCAGUCAGUGGAGCGUGCAACUCUUGAUCUCAGGGUUGUGUGUUUGAGCCCAACGUUGGGUGUAGAGUUUCCUUUAAAAAUCUUUAGAGGUGCCUGGGUGGCUCAGUCAGUUAAGUAUCUGACUCUUGAUUUCGGCUCAGGUCAUGAUCUCAGGAUCCUGGGAUCGAGCCCCCCAUCGGGUUCCCCACUCAGCAGGGUGUCUGCUUGUCUCCCUCUCUCCCUCUCCCUCUGCCCCGACCCCCACUUGCACGCACUCGAGCUCUCUUUCUCUCAAAUAAAUAAAUCUUUAAAAAAAUAAAAAUAAAAAUCUUUAAAAAAAUAAAAGGUGUUCAGGAAAGGAGAUGUAAAUACACAACUUGGCUUGACAGUGGACAAUAUUUAUAUGAUCCUAAUCAUGAAAACAACAAUAUGAAUUUAAUAAAAGAGGUGAUUUAAGCCAUAUAGGGUGUAUGAGAGGAGAAUUGUAUGUGAGGGUGCCCUAUCGAGGGUGAGUCUUCAUCUUCCUUAUUAGGGAGUCAACAUAUGAUAUAUAAAUCUGAAAAAUCAAGAAUAGCAAUAUAAACAAGUUAUUUAGAAAAAUGGAAGUAAAUAUGAGGAGAAGCACUUAAAAGGGUUACAAGUGGUUGCAUCUGUAAGUGAGGACUGGGGUGACGAGGUGGCAGGGACUGUUUUUUAUAAGCUUCAUGAGACUGACUUUUGAAAGUAAUGACUUUGAUAAAAAUUAAAAUCAUGUUUAAAAACUAAUAAAUAUUCAUUAGAAAAAGUUUAGAAAAUACACAUAUGAAAAGAGAAUAAAAUAAAAGCCAUUCAUAGCAUCUCAACCCGGAGGCCACAGAUGAAACAUUGGCACGUUAGUUUUGAGUCUUUCCACUAUACAUAAAUAUACGCACAGUUUUUUAAAAUGUGAGAUCAUAUUGUUAAUAUUAUUUGCAAUGUGCCUUUUUCCCCUAAAAGUAACUGUGGGGAACUUUUCCAUAUCAAUAUUCAUCCACUACAUCAUUUUAAUGGCUGAAUAUUCCCCAUCAUAUGGAUAAUACUAUAAUUUAUUUAAUUCAACCCAACAUUAACCAUUAAUUAUUCAAUCAGCCUAAUUCUCUCAGCAAACAAAUGCAACUUUAGGUACUUUGGGAACGAUAGCCAAAAAGAAUUUUCUCUACUCUGGAUUCAAUUGUUGUCAUCAAUCAUUUCUAUUUCGCUUUACCAGCAAAAGAGUGAGAUAUUUCACUUGCUCUCCCCUGACAAUCCACAGUUUUGUUUUUUAAUUCCAUCUCCCAUUAAAAGUGUAAAUGGAAUGCAUGUGUGGAGAUGGCCAUUCUUGCCUGCCAGGGUCAUUUUUCAACUUCAGGUAACAGCACCUCCAUUUCCCUAGGUGGAAGCCCCUCCCCCCUCCUCCCGCAUUGCUCCGCCCAUGUGGUUUGGGUCAAACUGACCGCACCACCAGGUCCGGCCUCCUUCAUCUCUCUGGCCUCCGUGAAUGGUUCAGAGAUGGAUGUGUGCACAGAACUGAAGCAAGCCCAGAACUUGUACUGGGAACCUUAGGGAAGAGGAAUUCUCUCUCUUUUCCCUGGGAUCGCGGAGCUGAUAAAAGUUUAAGUCUAGAGUGGCUGACUCUUGCCAUUACAAAGGAAGGGCGGCGCCUGGGGAUAAAGCCAAAGAGGAAGAAGGAUCAGCCAAAGGAUGUAAAAAGCCAGAUUCCUGGUAACACUUUCUGAGCACCUGGUUCCAGACGUGCCUGACGUUCUUGCAAAACAAGUUGUAUGAAUGAACACAUUUCCAUUUUUUCUUAAUCUCUUUUGGUUGGGGCUAGCAUAUACUCCAAGUCAAAUCAUUGAAACAGGACAGAAAACGAGAAAGUGAAAAUUUAAAAUUUCUCUCCUUAAGCCCUCCUGCCAAUUCUCAGUCCACCCCCGCCGGGGCAGUCACGCUGCCUACAGCGUCUUACCUCUGCUUCCAAAAUGAGUCUGUGCAUUCACAAACAGGCUAGUAGUCAUAAAUACCUAAACAGGGUCACACUAUCCACCUUAUCCUGCCACUUGUAUCUUCUACUUUACCCUGAAGGGAAGAUUACCUCUCCUUACCACAUCUAGACAUUUUGUUCAUUUUUCCUAAGCCCUAUACAGACGCCUCCUAUUCUAACCAGUCCUGCACUGAUGGCCAUUGAGGUUCACCCCGUUUUCUACCACUAAAAACCAGCUGUGAUGAGCAUCCUUCUUAUAGAAUUACAUGAGGCAAAUCCAGAAAGCUGAUGAAGCUAAUGUUUCUGGGCCCUCGUCACCCAGGCCCCUUCUGGGAUCAGCUUAGUGAGAGGUAUAUAAGUAGUCGCUAGUUGUACAGUGUAGGAACAGCUUCCAGAAAUGCUCCUCCUACCCCCUGUGCCAACUAACAAGGUCAAGAUACAAAGGUUCAGGGCCAUCAGUCAUAACUCAGUAAAAACAGGCCUGGGGACAACAGGAUGGAAUUUUGGAGCGUGGAAGAGAAAUGGUCCAAAAUGUACAGAGCCGGGGGCUAGUCUGCAGAAGGUUCUUCCAAUCAUCACAGGUAGGAAAAGGGCUUUGUUUCUCACCCAAAUCUGUCAGAAACAUACUUGAUAAUGCAGCAUAUAUAUACCACUAUAAAUGUACCAUAUGCUUUUCUCUUUUUUGAUGGGCAUCAUGAAGAAUAGAACUUAUCAAAAUUUCUGUCUUUGUAGAGCACCGAUGUGUAGAAGUACCACAAACAGUGGGUAUGUCUAUGUGAAAUGGGAUGUUUUAUGCAUCAAAGCUAUCAAUAAUGAAAAAACAAAUUUCGAUUUACUAUGCUAUAGGAAAGAGUGAAUUGUCUUCCUAUUCUAAAAUACUUCAAAAUUGUCAUCCUAUGUAGAGGAAGUGAUCAAAGCCUAAAAGAAAUGUGGGGGGAAAAGGCAUGAUCAGGGUGCAUCAGGCAGUAGAUUAAUAGAAAUAUGAUGUUAGUUUUCUGAAUUUUGCGAUGCUUAUGGUAUUUGUCAGCUUUUAAUAAUUUGUUAUUUUUGUAAUUUCCCUUCUCGUUGUAAAUAAAUAUUCACUAUUGUGCCUGACUUGUAUUUAUAAUUUUUUAAAGAGGCUCUCAAAAAUUGCAUGCACUUCAGGCCCUAAAACACUUGGAUCUGCCCCCGCAAAAUGGCUGACCUGCAGGAUCCGGAGGCAGACCGCCCAGCUUCACGUCUCGGCCGGGCCAUGGCUAUCGACUGAAUGUUCAGGGCCCCCAGAUCCGUAUGUUGAAACCUAAUCUCCAAUGUGAUCGUAUUCGGAGGUGGGGCCGUUCGGAGGUGA